UGUUUAAAAGGUACUAUGUUGGGUUAUGA
rnacentral:piRNA from 1 species